rnacentral:rRNA from 1 species
UCGAACGGAGUUAUAUUGUAGCUUGCUAUGGUAUAACUUAGUGGCAGACGGGUGAGUAAUGUAUAGGAAUCUACCUAGUAGUACGGAAUAAUUGUUGGAAACGGCAACUAAUACCGUAUACGCCCUACGGGGGAAAAAUUUAUUGCUAUUAGAUGAGCCUAUAUUAGAUUAGCUAGUUGGUGGAGUAAUAGCCUACCAAGGCAAUGAUCUAUAGCUGAUCUGAGAGGAUGAUCAGCCACACUGGAACUGAGAUACGGUCCAGACUCCUACGGGAGGCAGCAGUGGGGAAUAUUGGACAAUGGGCGAAAGCCUGAUCCAGCCAUGCCGCAUGAGUGAAGAAGGCCUUUGGGUUGUAAAGCUCUUUUAGUGAGGAAGAUAAUGACGGUACUCACAGAAGAAGUCCUGGCUAACUCCGUGCCAGCAGCCGCGGUAAUACGGAGAGGGCUAGCGUUAUUCGGAAUUAUUGGGCGUAAAGGGCGCGUAGGCGGAUUAGUAAGUUAAAAGUGAAAUCCCAAGGCUCAACCUUGGAAUUGCUUUUAAAACUGCUAAUCUAGAGAUUGAAAGAGGAUAGAGGAAUUCCUAGUGUAGAGGUGAAAUUCGUAAAUAUUAGGAGGAACACCAGU